GACGAACGCUGGCGGCGUGCCUAAUACAUUCAAGUAGGACGCAGUUGCGAACGUGUGAGUAACGCGUAGGUAACUACCUAUUAGAGGGUGAUAACUAUUGGAAACGAUAGCUAAUACCGCAUACUAGUCGAUGGACCUGCGUUGUAUUAGCUAGUAGUUAGGGUAAUGGCCUACCUAGGCAACGAUACAUAACCGAGCUGAGAGGCGGGUAGGGCACAUGGGGAAGGAGACACGGCCAAUACACCUCAGGGAGGCAGCAGUGUGGAACCGUCGGCAAUGGGGGGAACCCUGACUGAGUAACGCGGCGUGAGUGACGAAAGUUGUCGGUUCGUAAAGCUCUGUUGUGAAGGAAACGGAACUUAACCAGAAAGGGACGGCUAACUACGUGCCAGCAGCAGAGGUAUUC
rnacentral:rRNA from 1 species